rnacentral:ncRNA from 1 species
UUAUUUUUUUAGCAAGCUUAAUUUAUAAAAAAAAUAGGCGUAGAGAAAUCAAGUUUUAAAAAGCUUAUAAUAAGUUAUAAAAAUAAGACCCGAAACUGAGUGAUCUAAUUAUGAACAGAUUGAAGAAUAGGUAAAACUAUUUGGAGGAUCGAACCCACGUACUCCGGAGUACUCCGGAGUAUGUGGCAAUAUACGGGGAUGAUUUGAAUGAUUCUACAAUUUCCUGCGAUAUUUAA